rnacentral:lncRNA from 1 species
AAAAAAACUUAUUUACAUCCACACAUUUAAACUUCUUAAAACAACUUUAAAAACACACAGCGGAAGUCUAAGUCUCACAUGGCCAUCUUAGACACAGUCGCAAAACAUAAGUAGGGACACGGCCCUUUACAAUCAAAAGAAGUCUAUUACAUGAACAAAAGAACUUAAAAGUCUUAUCCUCGAAUCCAUGAGGACAUACCAAGUCUUGGAGGAAAGCAAUCCAACACUUCAAACUAGCUAGGAGGGAUCACUUGCCGGAACCUACACUUAUAGUAAAAAUAUGAAGAAUAUGGGUUAGUACACAAAAUGUACUAAGUAUGAUGACCAUGCAAAACAU